GCGACCCCAGGUCAAGCGGGACUACCCGCUGAAUUUAAGCAUAUCAUAA
rnacentral:rRNA from 1 species